rnacentral:rRNA from 1 species
UGAGUACGAGCGGCUACGGCCGCGAAGUGGAUGAUGUCAAGCUUCCAAGAAAAGCCCUAUACCCGUUAAGGCAUGAUGGCCUGUACCCGAAACCGACACAGGUGGGGUGGUAGAGAAUACCGAGGGGCGCGAGGUAACUCUCUCUAAGGAACUCGGCAAAAUGGCCCCGUAACUUCGGGAGAAGGGGUGCCACCGCGAGGUGGUCGCAGUGAAGAGGCCCAGGCGACUGUUUACCAAAAACACAGGUCUCCGCUAAGUCGCAAGACGAUGUAUGGGGGCUGACGCCUGCCCAGUGCCGGAAGGUUAAGGAAGCUGGUCAGCGCAAGCGAAGCUGGCGACUGAAGCCCCGGUGAACGGCGGCCGUAACAAUAACGGUCCUAAGGUAGCGAAAUUCCUUGUCGGGUAAGUUCCGACCCGCACGAAAGGCGUAACGAUCUGGGCGCUGUCUCGGAGAGAGGCUCGGCGAAAUAGAAUUGUCUGUGAAGAUGCGGACUACGUGCACCCGGACAGAAAGACCCUAUGAAGCUUUACUGUAGCUUGGUAUUGUGCUCGGGCUCGGAAUGCGCAGGAUAGGUGGGAGGCUUUGAUCCAUUGCUUGCGGGUGAUGGUGAGCCACUGGUGAGAUACCACUCUUUCCGAGCUAGAGUUCUAACAGCAACCCGUUAUCCGGGUGCUGGACAGUAUCAGGUGGGCAGUUUGACUGGGGCGGUCGCCUCCUAAAAGGUAACGGAGGCGCGCAAAGGUCUGCUCAGGCUGGUUGGAAAUCAGCCGACGAGUGUAAAAGCAGAAGCAGGCUUGACUGUGAGACCUACAAGUCGAACAGGGAGGAAACUCGGCUUUAGUGAUCCGACGGUUCUGCGUGGAAGGGCCGUCGCUCAACGGAUAAAAGUUACUCUAGGAUAACAGGCUGAUCUCCCCCAAGAGUUCACAUCGACGGGGAGGUUUGGCACCUCGAUGUCGGCUCAUCGCAACCUGGGGCUGAAGUCGGUCCCAAGGGUUGGGCUGUUCGCCCAUUAAAGCGGUACGCGAGCUGGGUUCAGAACGUCGUGAGACAGUUCGGUCCAUAUCCGGUGCACGCGCAGGAAUAUUGAGAGGAUUUCUCCCUAGUACGAGAGGACCGGGAGGAACGCACCUCUGGUGUGCCAGUUAUCGUGCCAACGGUAAACGCUGGGUAGCCAUGUGCGGAGUGGAUAACCGCUGAAAGCAUCUAAGUGGGAAGCCCACCUCAAGAUGAGUAUUCCCAUGGCAUAAGCCAGUAAGGUCACGGGAAGAACACCCGUUGAUAGGCUCUACGUGGAAGCGCAGUAAUGUGUGAAGCGGAGGAGUACUAAUAGACCGAGGGC